AGUGAACGCUGGCGGUAGGCCUAACACAUGCAAGUCGAACGGCAGCACAGUAAGAGCUUGCUCUUACGGGUGGCGAGUGGCGGACGGGUGAGGAAUACAUCGGAAUCUACUUUUUCGUGGGGGAUAACGUAGGGAAACUUACGCUAAUACCGCAUACGACCUACGGGUGAAAGCAGGGGAUCUUCGGACCUUGCGCGAUUGAAUGAGCCGAUGUCGGAUUAGCUAGUUGGCGGGGUAAAGGCCCACCAAGGCGACGAUCCGUAGCUGGUCUGAGAGGAUGAUCAGCCACACUGGAACUGAGACACGGUCCAGACUCCUACGGGAGGCAGCAGUGGGGAAUAUUGGACAAUGGGCACAAGCCUGAUCCAGCCAUACCGCGUGGGUGAAGAAGGCCUUCGGGUUGUAAAGCCCUUUUGUUGGGAAAGAAAAGCAGCAGGUUAAUACCCCGCUGUUCUGACGGUACCCAGAGAAUAAGCACCGGCUAACUUCGUG
rnacentral:rRNA from 1 species